rnacentral:rRNA from 1 species
AUGACGCCGCAGGCUGCGCCGGCGUCGGCGGCGCUCGGGUUCCUCGUCCCGACACGCUGGGAGAUCGAGGUCACCUGCGCCGCCGCGACGGCCCUCGUCCUCCUAAUCGCCGCGCUCUACGCGCUCCUCCGCCCGCGCCGCGCGCCCGCGGCCGCCGACGGCCUCCAGCUCGUCGACAAGGUAAGCAAAUCAACGGCUGCCGGUGCUGCCGCGUGUCUAUCUGUCCAGCUGAAGCUGCUGGCCGCCAAGGAUUUGAUCGCGGCCAACUUGAACGGGACUUCCGACCCGUAUGCGCUCAUCACCUGCGGCCAAGAUAAGCGUUUCAGCUCCAUGGUUCCUGGCUCAAGAAACCCAAUGUGGGGAGAGGAAUUCAAUUUUGUUGUUGACUGCCUUCCUGUAAAGAUAAAGGUGGAAAUAUAUGACUGGGACAUAGUAUGGAAGAGCACAACACUUGGUUCUGUUACUGUUUCAGUCGAGUCCAAGGAGCGGAGUGGACCAGUUUGGCAUACACUUGACGGCUCAUCAGGGCGGGUUUGUCUCCAUAUCAAGGCAAUCAGAGUUAAUGAGAGUUCCUCCAGGGCUCUAAACAACUCUGCUGAGGCUGAUGCUCGUAAAAGGAUGUCCUUAGACAAAGAAGGCCCUAUUGUCGUUCACCAAAAGCCAGGUCAUUUACAGACAAUUUUUGGGCUACCUCCAGAUGAGGUUGUUGAACACACUUAUUCAUGUGCACUUGAGAGGUCAUUUCUAUAUCACGGUCGCAUGUAUGUGUCUUUAUGGCACAUUUGCUUCUAUUCAAACAUCUUCUCUAAGCAGAUUAAGGUUGAGCUCCCUUUGAGAGAUAUUGAUGAGAUAACAAAAGGCCAACUUGCAGUUAUUAAUCCUGCAAUUACGAUAUUUCUUCGAACGGGAGCUGGAGGACAUGGAGUUCCUUCCUUAGCAUGCUCUGAUGGAAGAGUUAGAUAUAUAUUUGCAUCGUUUUGGAACAGAAACCACACAGUUAGAGCAUUGGAACAAGCUGUGAAGAACUUCCAUACCAUGAUAGAGGCUGAGAAACAGGAACAUGCUCGAUCUGCAUUACGUGCACUCAGUGGCUCAAGAAACAAUAGCAUGGAGAUAGAUGUUCCAGAAGAAUGUGCUGAUUUAACAGGGCUACCACAACCGUUUGUCAAAGAAGAAGUUCUAGUCUCUGUGUUUGAUGGAACAUUUCCGUGUACUGCAGACCAGUUUUUCAAUAAUCUUAUAAGUGAUGACUCAACUUACACAGCAGAAUAUCGGACAGCUCGUCAGGAUAAAGAUAUCAACCUGGGCCAGUGGCACCUUGCGGACGAGUAUGACGGUCAGGUGAGAGAACUUAACUGUAAAUCCAUGUGCCACAGUCCGAUGUGCCCUCCAUAUUCAGCAAUAACAGAGUGGCAGCAUACGGUUCUUUCAGCUAACAAAACCGAUCUGGUAUUCGAGACUGUACAGCAAGUACAUGAUGUUCCAUUUGGUUCCUAUUUUGAGAUACACUGUAGAUGGUCUGUGAAAACCAUCGAUUCUAGUUCGUGCAGUGUUGGCAUUAGUGCUGGUGCACAUUUCAAGAAAUGGUGCAUAAUGCAGUCUAAAAUAAAGAGCGGUGCUGUGGACGAGUUAAAGAAGGAAGUUGGAGAAAUGUUAGGGUUUGCGGAGUCGUAUAUGCUAAGAGUUAGCUUCCCUACCCAAGAAGACAACACGGCGCCAGACGCAGAUGAUAUACAUGGUGAUCAGUAG